CUGUCUCUGCUCGCCUGCUCCCUUUCCCGUACGCACACACCCGGGAGUGUGAAGGAGCAAGUGCCGACAGCUACAACCGCGAUUCACAGGUUCUUGAAAGGGUUGCUGUUGUUUCCGGACAGUCAUCCCGGGCUGCUGUCCCCAGGCCAUCGAGGCCGACUGCUUAGCCUGCAGCCUGGGCCUGCACUCCUGAGACACUCCGCUGCUAUCCGACUGGGUCCAUGCCCUCUCGCUCCUCAGUGACAGAGACAUGCUCAGGAAGCCUGGACUCGCAGAGGCUGCUCACCUUCUUCAUUGAUUUCUACGCGCCUCCAGGAUCUCUGAAACGAGGAGCCCUGCCCUUUAUAUGUUUAAUCAGAUAUUGCAAAGUGGACCUGAGAACCAGCCCCUCGGCAGGAGAUUGUGAAGGCGGGUGGUGUUUUGAUCAUGCUGAACUCUGAGAUCUGUGACUGGGAUAGAUUAAAGACCCGCAACAAAAAUGAGUGCUGGGUAUUGCUGACAAAAGAGGCCUCUGUAAUUUCUCAGGCAAUAAGUAUUUACUGAGUAUUUACAAGGCGUGGGUUAUUUUGAGAAACUCUUUUUUAAAAUUAUACAUUAAGUUCUGAGGUACAUGUGCAGAAUGUGCAGGUUUGUUACAUAGGUGUACACCUGUCAUGGUGGUUUGCUGCAUCCAUCCCCCCGUCAUCUACAUUAGGCGUUUCUCCUAAUGCUAUCCCCUCCCAAUCCCCUGAAACCCCUGCUAUCCCUCCCCUAGUACCCCACCCUCCAAGAGGCCCUGAUGUGUGAUGCUCCCUCUCCUGUGUCCAUGUGUUCUCAUUGUUCAGCACCCACCUAUGAGUGAGAACAUGUAGUGUUUGCUUUUCUGUUCUUGUGUCAGUUUCCUGAGAAUGAUGGUUUCCAGCUUCAUCCAUGUCCCUGAACAGGACAUGAACUCAUUCUUUUUAAAAACUGCAUAGUUUUCCAUGGUGUAUGUGUGCCACAUUCUCUUUAUCCAGGCCCCAUUGAUGGGCCUUUGGGUUGGUUCCAAGUCUUUGCUACUGUAAACAGUGUGGCUGUGUCUUUAUAAUUGAAUGUUUUAUAAUCCUUUGGGUAUAUAACCAGUAAUGGGAUUGCUGGGUCAAAUGAUAUUUCUAGUAUAGAUCCUGGAGGAAUCAUCACACUGUCUUCCACAAUUUUUGAACUAAUUUACCCUCCCACUAACGUGUAAAAGCAUUUCUAUUUCUCCACAUCCUCUCCAGCAUCUGUUGUCUCUAGAUUUUUUUAAUGAUCGCCAUUCUAACUGGCAUGAGACAGUAUCUCAAUGUGGUUUUGAUUCUAACUGGCAUGAGACAGUAUCUCAAUGUGGUUUUGAUUUGUAUUUCUCUAAUUACCAGUGAUGUUGAGCUUUUUUUCAUACGUUUGUUGGCUGCACAAAUGUCUUUUUUGAGAAGUGUCUGUUCAUAUCCUUUGCCCACUUUUUGAUGGGGUAGUUUGUUUUUUUCUUGUAAAUUUGUUUAAGUUCUGGAAACUCCGGGACUGCAUCUGUCUCGCUCACUGGUAUGUCCCCAGGGACACACUAGUAUCUCUGUCUCAAUUACUAGUGUCUUUCACAGAGGGAGUGGCACAUAAGCACAUAAACGCUAGACAUAAACACCAGUUAAAGGCACAUGUGAACAAAUGAGUGAAUAAAUGAUCAGGUGAAUCUACUCA
rnacentral:lncRNA from 13 species